rnacentral:rRNA from 1 species
CCAGGCUUGACAUUGAUAGAACCUGGCAGAAAUGCCGGGGUGCCCUUCGGGGCCUAGAAAACAGGUGCUGCAUGGCUGUCGUCAGCUCGUGUCGUGAGAUGUUGGGUUAAGUCCCGCAACGAGCGCAACCCUUGUCGUUAGUUGCUACCAGGUAAUGCUGGGCACUUUAGCGAGACUGCCGGUGACAAACCGGAGGAAGGUGGGGAUGACGUCAAGUCCUCAUGGCCUUUAUGUCUGGGGCUACACACGUGCUACAAUGGCAGGUACAAACCGAUGCGAACCCGCGAGGGGGUGCAAACCGGAGAAAACCUGUCUCAGUUCGGAUUGAAGUCUGCAACUCGACUUCCUGAAGUCGGAAUCGCUAGUAAUCGUGGAUCAGCAUGCCACGGUGAAUACGUUCCC